UCAUUACCUAGUGUGUAUUUAGUCUCUGUGUGUUUAGUGUCUAUGUAGCGCUCUCUUUCUUUCAGUGCAGACACCUUAAAGACAUUAAAGGGUCAAAUAAAUGUCUUCUUUUUUUUACUGAGCUGUGACCAUACUCAAUGGAAAAUUCCAGUUCAAAACUGUACAUUAAUUUCUUACCCUCAGUGCGCAAGACUCCCAUGAAGGUUUUCCUGAAGCCCAUUUGUCUCCCGGCUAAAGAGUGCACCUGGAUCCUGGACUUCACACAGUCGAUAGGAUAGACCACCAUCCAGAGACAAGCUCCCCCAAAUCCACCACUGAACAUCAGAGGAAGAAUGCCUGCAAAGACCGAGAGUGUUUGUGAGGUUGGAUCCAUUUUACAAAAAUGUGUCAUUCAGCGACACUUCACCAGCUCGGUGGGGCAAAUGGCCAUGGCUGAGAAGAUGGAGGCCAAAGAGCCGGAGGAGGCCUUCUGGAGAUCACUGAUGAAGAGUAGCAGAACAAAAACACAAUGUAAGGUUUUCAGUGUGUAACAGAGGGCAGUCAGGAUGUUUACAUGUUCAGACAAUAACACGAAUCCUCUUCUAAAAUGAAUAAUAUCAGGAAACAAGUGUUCUCCUCACAUGACAUGUCAAUCUGUUUCUCUUUUACUUUCACCCACAAAGUGCAAAGUGAGAUCUUGGACCGUUGAAAUCAACACCUAGUUUGUGUUUACACUCUGAGGCGAGACAGCCCUCAUUUGGCUUCAGAAAAAUAAUGAUUUUACAUGAAAUAAAAGCAUGAAAGAUAAG